UCACGACGUGAUCACCCGCUGAACUUAAGCAUAU
rnacentral:rRNA from 1 species